GGCAGGGUAGCAAGAAGUGGGAAUAAUUCUGGUUACAUUAAUUCAUGCCUGAACUCGCAGCUUAAACAUUAUUUAAUGUUGUAGAAAUUCAGAGAUGGAAAAGUGACCUUGGAAAUAAUUUAGCAUCCCUUCAUUUAUAGCCAAAGAAAUGAAUGCGGCCCUUGCCGCUUGCGAGAUGCCUGGAAGGUUCAGAGCCUUUAGGAAUGCAGCUAAUAUGUAAGGUUAUUAAAGCGUUUUUGGUAAGAUUUUAUUUCAGUAUUCCAAUCUUUCUUCCCUUUUCUUAGACUCAGCCUGAGCCUUAACAGCAGCAACAAAGCACAAAAAGGCAUUUUUCAGUUUUCCAUUGAAAGUACUUGGCUUUCUUGUUCUAAUCCCAUAAUUAGACUUUGGAUUCUUUCCAGACUCCAUUGAAUCAGAAGAUAGAAAGGCCUGACAUGGUAGAAAAAAAUUAUCCGGGAAAAUAUUGGAGCUCUGAGGACUGCUUCUAACAGAAGUCUGCAUUAAACACAGAAACCUAAAGAGAAGACAUUGACCUGAGUUAUUUAUUUAUUACAGAAAUAUAUAAACAGAACAUCA
rnacentral:lncRNA from 1 species